rnacentral:misc_RNA from 1 species
GAUGAAGAACGUAGCGAAAUGCGAUAAGUAGUGUGAAUUGCAGAAUUCCGUGAAUCAUCGAAUCUUUGAACGCACAUUGCGCCCUCUGGUAUUCCGGGGGGCAUGCCUGUUCGAGCGUCAUUAUAACCACUCAAGCUCUCGCUUGGUAUUGGGGUUCGCGGUUCCGCGGCCCCUAAAAUCAGUGGCGGUGCCUGUCGGCUCUACGCGUAGUAAUACUCCUCGCGAUUGAGUCCGGCAGGUCUACUUGCCAGCAACCCCCAAUUUUUACAGGUUGACCUCGGAUCAGGUAGGGAUACCCGCUGAACUUAAGCAUAUCAAUAGCGGAGGA